CUCCUUAUACCAAACUUCCAAUUAAUAUCAAACAUGAAAGCAUGAAACAUUUGUGCUCCAAACCCUGUUGCAAACUCUUCCUCGAUGAAUACAAUUUAAUAAUGACAAUUAAACAUGUUGUACAAUGUCUAAAUUAUGUAGAAUUAAAAAAAAAAAAAGAAGAAGCAUCUUUUUGGUGGUAUUAUAGUUUUAUCUUUGCAUCCAUACCAUCAACCAAAAACUAAACCAAAACUUGCAUUUUUAAGCACUUAUUUGGAUCCAGAGACAGAUUGUCGACUCC
rnacentral:lncRNA from 1 species